rnacentral:hammerhead_ribozyme from 1 species
AUCCAGUUUACGAGUCUCGAAUAGAACGAAACGCGCGUCCUAGAU